AGAGUUUGAUCCUGGCUCAGAAUCAACGCUGGCGGCGUGCCUAACACAUGCAAGUCGAACGAGAAAGGGGAGCAAUCCCUGAGUAAAGUGGCGCACGGGUGAGUAACACGUGACUAACCUACCCUGGAGUGGGGGAUAACUGAGGGAAACCUUAGCUAAUACCGCAUAAUACCCACGGGUCAAAGGAGCAAUUCGCUUCAGGAGGGGGUCGCGGCCGAUUAGUUAGUUGGCGGGGUAAUGGCCCACCAAGACGAUGAUCGGUAUCCGGCCUGAGAGGGCGCACGGACACACUGGAACUGAAACACGGUCCAGACUCCUACGGGAGGCAGCAGUGGGGAAUUUUGCGCAAUGGGGGAAACCCUGACGCAGCAACGCCGCGUGGAGGAUGAAGUACUUCGGUACGUAAACUCCUUUCGAUCGGGACGAUUAUGGCGGUACCGAGAGAAGAAGCCCCGGCUAACUUCGUGCCAGCAGCCGCGGUAAUACGAGGGGGGCGAGCGUUGUUCGGAAUUAUUGGGCGUAAAGGGUGCGUAGGCGGUUUGGUAAGUCUGAUGUGAAAUCUAUGGGCUCAACUCAUAGUCUGCAUCGGAAACUGCCGGGCUUGAGUGUGGGAGAGGUGAGUGGAAUUCCCGGUGUAGCGGUGAAAUGCGUAGAUAUCGUGAGGAACACCUGUGGCGAAAGCGGCUCACUGGACCACAACUGACGCUGAUGCACGAAAGCUAGGGGAGCAAACAGGAUUAGAUACCCUGGUAGUCCUAGCCCUAAACCAUGACUGCUUGGUGUGACGGGUACCCAAUCCCGCCGUGCCGUAGCCAACGCGUUAAGCAGUCCGCCUGGGGAGUACGUCGCAAGGCUGAACUCAAAGGAAUUGACGGGGCCCGCACAAGCGGUGGAGCAUGUGGUUUAAUUCGACGCAACGC
rnacentral:rRNA from 1 species